rnacentral:rRNA from 1 species
GAUGAACGCUGGCGGCGUGCCUAAUACAUGCAAGUCGAGCGAACAGAUGAGGAGCUUGCUCCUCUGACGUUAGCGGCGGACGGGUGAGUAACACGUGGAUAACCUACCUAUAAGACUGGGAUAAAUUCGGGAAACCGGAGCUAAUACCGGAUAAUAUAUUGAACCGCAUGGUUCAAUAGUGAAAGACGGUUUUGCUGUCACUUAUAGAUGGCUCCGCGCCGCAUUAGCUAGUUGGUAAGGUAACGGCUUACCAAGGCAACGAUGCGUAGCCGCCCUGAGAGGGUGAUCGGCCACACUGGAACUGAGACACGGUCCAGACUCCUACGGGAGGCAGCAGUAGGGAAUCUUCCGCAAUGGGCGAAAGCCUGACGGAGCAACGCCGCGUGAGUGAUGAAGGUCUUCGGAUCGUAAAACUCUGUUAUUAGGGAAGAACAAAUGUGUAAGUAACUAUGCACGUCUUGACGGUACCUAAUCAGAAAGCCACGGCUAACUACGUG